UACGUAGGGGGCAAGCGUUGCCCGGAUUUAUUGGGCGUAAAGAGCGUGUAGGCGGUCCGGUAAGUCCGUUGUGAAAGUCAGGGGCUCAACCCUUGAAUGCCGGCGGAUACUGUCGGGCUAGAGUCCGGAAGAGGAGUGUGGAAUUCCUGGUGUAGCGGUGAAAUGCGCAGAUAUCAGGAGGAACACCAAUGGCGAAGGCAGCACUCUGGGACGUGACUGACGCUGAGACGCGAAAGCGUGGGGAGCAAACAGG
rnacentral:rRNA from 1 species